rnacentral:rRNA from 1 species
UACGAAGGGGGCUAGCGUUGCUCGGAUUUACUGGGCGUAAAGGGCGCGUAGGCGGACAGUUAAGUUGGGGGUGAAAGCCCGGGGCUCAACCUCGGAAUUGCCUUCAAUACUGGCUGUCUUGAGUGUGAGAGAGGUGUGUGGAACUCCGAGUGUAGAGGUGAAAUUCGUAGAUAUUCGGAAGAACACCAGUGGCGAAGGCGACACACUGGCUCACUACUGACGCUGAGGCGCGAAAGCGUGGGGAGCAAGCAGG